rnacentral:tRNA from 1 species
CCCCUCUUAGCUCAGACUGGCCGGAGCGCCUGCCUGUAGAGCAGGAUGUCCCCGGUUCGAAUCCGGGAGAGGGGA